rnacentral:rRNA from 1 species
UACGUAGGGGGCAAGCGUUGUCCGGAUUUAUUGGGCGUAAAGAGCGUGUAGGCGGCCAUGCAGGUCAGCUGUGAAAACUCGAGGCUCAACCUCGAGACGUCGGUUGAAACCGUAUGGCUAGAGUCCGGAAGAGGAGAGUGGAAUUCCUGGUGUAGCGGUGAAAUGCGCAGAUAUCGGGAAGAACACCCGUGGCGAAGGCGGUUCUCUGGGACGGUACUGACGCUGAGACGCGAAAGCGUGGGGAGCGAACAGG